CAGCAGCCGCGGGAAUACGAAGGGGGCUAGCGUUGCUCGGAAUGACUGGGCGUAAAGGGCGCGUAGGCGGCGGCCAAAGUCAGGCGUGAAAUUCCCGGGCUCAACCUGGGGGCUGCGUUUGAUACUUGGUUGCUUGAGUGGGGAAGAGGGUCGUGGAAUUCCCAGUGUAGAGGUGAAAUGCGUAGAGAUGUGGAGGAACACCGGUGGCGAAGGCGGCAACCUGGUCCUUGACUGACGCUGAGGCGCGAAAGCGUGGGGAGCAAACAGGAUUAGAUACCCGUGUAGUCCCUGUCUCUUAUAC
rnacentral:rRNA from 1 species